CAAGGCGAAACUACAGUGGCUGUAGCGAAACGCUACUAUCGAUCACCGUGACAUGCAGAACUUUGUUGUAAUUUAGUAAGCUGGCGGUCUCAGAGCCUGCGGAGCAUGGUGCCCAGAUCGACGACGACAAAGGCUCGAGAGCUGCCAUCCGUGUGCACAACCCACCGGGAGGACGAUCAUCUGGCAUCUGGUAGACAUCGCCGCAUAGCUUCCAUGAUGACGGUGGCAUUCGACUCUGCUAACUGCCACCUAAUCGCCGCCGCUGCUUGUCAGCUGUCCUGCCGCCCAAUGAAAUGGCCGCGAUCCAAUUUCUUUCCAUCUCCCUGUUGUGCUUGUUGUGUUGCCCUUACCAAUCCAAACUACUUCAUUAUUUUAUAACGCAGCAUGCGCGGCAUUCGCUAAAUAAAGUAGCAUCGAUAUCAUGAGA
rnacentral:lncRNA from 1 species